rnacentral:rRNA from 1 species
AACGAACGUUAGCGGCGCGCUUAACACAUGCAAGUCGAACGAGAAAGGGCUUCGGCCCCGGUACAGUGGCGCACGGGUGAGUAACACGUGGGUAAUCUACCCUUGAGCGGGGGAGUAACGUUCCGAAAGGAGCGCUAAUACCGCAUAAGACCACGCUCUCGAAAGGGAGCGAGGUAAAAGUAGGCCUCUGAAUUCACGCUUACACUCGAGGAUGAGCCCGCGGCCCAUCAUGGUAGUUGGUAGGGUAAUGGCCUACCAAGCCGAAGACGGGUAGCUGGUCUUAGAGGAUGAUCGGCCACACUGGAA